UACGUAGGGCGCAAGCGUUGUCCGGAUUUAUUGGGCGUAAAGAGCGUGUAGGCGGCUGGGUAGGUCCGUUGUGAAAACUCGAGGCUCAACCUCGAGACGCCGAUGGAAACCAUCCAGCUAGAGUCCGGAAGAGGAGAGUGGAAUUCCUGGUGUAGCGGUGAAAUGCGCAGAUAUCAGGAAGAACACCCGUGGCUAAGGCGGCUCUCUAGUACGGUACUGACGCUGAGACGCGAAAGCGUGGGGAGCGAACAGG
rnacentral:rRNA from 1 species